rnacentral:rRNA from 1 species
AUUGAACGCUGGCGGCAGGCCUAACACAUGCAAGUCGAGCGGGGUUUUCGGACCUAGCGGCGGACGGGUGAGUAAUGCGUAGGAAGCUGCCCGAUAGAGGGGGAUACCAGUUGGAAACGACUGUUAAUACCGCAUAAUGUCUACGGACCAAAGUGUGGGACCUUCGGGCCACAUGCUAUCGGAUGCGCCUACGUGGGAUCAGCUAGUUGGUGAGGUAAUGGGUCACCAAGGGGACGAUCUCUAGCUGGUUUGAGGGGAUGAUCAGCCACACUGGAACUGAGACACGGUCCAGACUCCUACGGGAGGCAGCGGUGGGGAAUAUUGGACAAUGGGCGCAAGCCUGAUCCAGCCAUGCCGCGUGUGUGAAGAAGGCCUUCGGUUUGUAAAGCACUUUCAGCGAGGAGGAAGGGUGGUGUGUUAAUAGCACAUCAUUUUGACGUUACUCGCAGAAGAAGCACCGGCUAACUUCGUGCCAGCAGCCGCCGUAACAC